rnacentral:rRNA from 1 species
CGCUGGCGGCGUGCCUACAUACAUGCCAAGUCGAGCGAAUGGAUUAAGAGCUUGCUCUUAUGAAGUUAGCGGCGGACGGGUGAGUAACACGUGGGUAACCUGCCCAUAAGACUGGGAUAACUCCGGGAAACCGGGGCUAAUACCGGAUAACAUUUUGAACCGCAUGGUUCGAAAUUGAAAGGCGGCUUUCGGCUUGUCACUUAUGGAUGGACCCGCGUCGCAUUA